rnacentral:tRNA from 1 species
GGGCUUGUAGCUCCAAUAGGAAGAGCGUCUUCUUUGCAAGGAGAGGGCUAGCGGUUCGAAUCCGCUCGAGUCCACCA